rnacentral:rRNA from 1 species
GAUGAACGCUAGCGGGAGGCCUAACACAUGCAAGCCGAGCGGUAUUGUUUCUUCGGAAAUGAGAGAGCGGCGUACGGGUGCGGAACACGUGUGCAACCUGCCUUUAUCUGGGGGAUAGCCUUUCGAAAGGAAGAUUAAUACUCCAUAACAUAUUGAUUGGCAUCAAUUAAUAUUGAAAGCUCCGGCGGAUAGAGAUGGGCACGCGCAAGAUUAGCUAGUUGGUGAGGUAACGGCUCACCAAGGCGAUGAUCUUUAGGGGGCCUGAGAGGGUGAUCCCCCACACUGGUACUGAGACACGGACCAGACUCCUACGGGAGGCAGCAGUGAGGAAUAUUGGUCAAUGGGUGCAAGCCUGAACCAGCCAUCCCGCGUGAAGGACGACUGCCCUAUGGGUUGUAAGCUUCUUUUGUAUAGGGAUAAACCUACCCUCGUGAGGGUAGCUGAAGGUACUAUACGAAUAAGCACCGGCUAACUCCGUGCCAGCAGCCGCGGUAAUACGGAGGGUGCAAGCGUUAUCCGGAUUUAUUGGGUUUAAAGGGUCCGUAGGCGGACUUAUAAGUCAGUGGUGAAAGCCUGUCGCUUAACGAUAGAACUGCCAUUGAUACUGUAAGUCUUGAGUAUAUUUGAGGUAGCUGGAAUAAGUAGUGUAGCGGUGAAAUGCAUAGAUAUUACUUAGAACACCAAUUGCGAAGGCAGGUUACCAAGAUAUAACUGACGCUGAGGGACGAAAGCGUGGGGAGCGAACAAGAUUAGAUACCCUGGUAGUCCACGCCGUAAACGAUGCUAACUCGUUUUUGGGCUUUAGGGUUCAGAGACCAAGCGAAAGUGAUAAGUUAGCCACCUGGGGAGUACGCUCGCAAGAGUGAAACUCAAAGGAAUUGACGGGGGCCCGCACAAGCGGUGGAUUAUGUGGUUUAAUUCGAUGAUACGCGAGGAACCUUACCAAGACUUAAAUGGGAAUUGACAGCUUUAGAAAUAGAGCUUUCUUCGGACAAUUUUCAAGGUGCUGCAUGGUUGUCGUCAGCUCGUGCCGUGAGGUGUUAGGUUAAGUCCUGCAACGAGCGCAACCCCUGUCACUAGUUGCCAUCAUUCAGUUGGGGACUCUAGUGAGACUGCCUACGCAAGUAGAGAGGAAGGUGGGGAUGACGUCAAAUCAUCACGGCCCUUACGUCUUGGGCCACACACGUAAUACAAUGGCCGGUACAGAGGGCAGCUACACAGCGAUGUGAUGCAAAUCUCGAAAGCCGGUCUCAGUUCGGAUUGGAGUCUGCAACUCGACUCUAUGAAGCUGGAAUCGCUAGUAAUCGCGCAUCAGCCAUGGCGCGGUGAAUACGUUCCCGGGCCU